AGUGAACGCUGGCGGUAGGCCUAACACAUGCAAGUCGAACGGCAGCACAGUAAGAGCUUGCUCUUACGGGUGGCGAGUGGCGGACGGGUGAGGAAUACAUUGGAAUCUACUUUUUCGUGGGGGAUAACGUAGGGAAACUUACGCUAAUACCGCAUACGACCUACGGGUGAAAGCAGGGGAUCUUCGGACCUUGCGCGAUUGAAUGAGCCGAUGUCGGAUUAGCUAGUUGGCGGGGUAAAGGCCCACCAAGGCGACGAUCCGUAGCUGGUCUGAGAGGAUGAUCGGCCACACUGGAACUGAGACACGGUCCAGACUCCUACGGGAGGCAGCAGUGGGGAAUAUUGGACAAUGGGCGCAAGCCUGAUCCAGCCAUACCGCGUGGGUGACGAAGGCCUUCGGGUUGUAAAGCCCUUUUGUUGGGAAAGAAAAGCAGCAGGUUAAUACGCCGCUGUUCUGACGGUACCCAAAGAAUAAGCACCGGCUAACUUCGUG
rnacentral:rRNA from 1 species